AUAGUAUCGAUGUAUACACAUACUCGGUGACUGGGUUUAUCAGGAAGUGCAUAGAAGAUGUUGUUCCUCCCGUGACGAUUAGAACUUAUGCAAACCAAAAACUGUGGAUAGAUGGCAGCAUUUGCGCAAAAACUGAAUUUAACCACAGCAAGGUGACUGGGAAUAUGGACAUGUACAAACAGACCAGCUAUGACCUCCAUAAGGCAAUCAAAGAGGCAAAACAUCAGUACAGGGACAAAGUGGAGUCACAAUUCAAUGGCUCAGAUACGAGACGCAUGUGGCAGGGACUCCACAUAAUCAUGGAUUGUCAAAGGGAAAGCCAGCCAUGUCACGAACACUGAUGCCUCGCUCCCGCACAAGCUAAAACACCUGUUCUCCUUCAAGAAAAACAACACGUGGACCCCAGCCGCUCAUGACGACCCGAUCUCUCUGGCCCACGAAUCUUCUAUCGUGGAUGGAAGGAUGGAACAAAGGGAAGAAGUACAGAAGUUAUUCAGCCUGCUGACAAAAUUGAUGAUAAAUUCAUUAAUGUCCCACUUCAAUAUAAAGGCACAGAGGACAAAACAUGCCGUUGCUACCAUUCCUCCAUUCCAUUGAAGUUGCUAAGUUAAUGUGGGGUUGCGACCAUUGACAUGGACAGUGUAACAUUUUUAGUAGAAUCUGUUACAAAUAUUUGAUUGUGCGUUACUGUUCUGUCAUGUCCUGCAUGCCCACAUUAUGCCAGUUGUUUAUGUAUUGCUUACUGUAAGUGUCAUUGAUUGGUUGAUUUGUUGGUGGAGGAGAAUACAAAGUAUGUAUAUGAGCAAGUUGCUCUUUUUUGAAGACAUCUCUAAGCUAUAACUGCCACAAACUUCUUUAACUAGUACCAUGGAAAUACUUUUAGUCAGCUAAGUCCAAAGUUUUGUCAGGAAUGUCAUUUUCUAGUUAUUUUACAAUCUCAAAUUGAUGAAGUUGUAAUGCGCUGAUUCGCUUCACUGCAGAUCUGACCCAUCACACCACUCUUCAAGAGGGCCACUAUGCUCCAGAUCGCCUUCUGUGCUCUGAGGUCCAGGAUGAGGAUCUACUCAUUCUAAUUAGUACAACAAAACAAUUGGCUUAAUAUAGUCUCGUUAUUGUUAUUUUAUUGUGAUAUUACUUGACUGUAUUUAGUAAAUAUUUUCUUAAAACUGCAUUUUUGGUUAAGGGCUUGUAAGUAAGUAAGCAGUUCACGGUAAGGUCUACACAUGUUGUAUUCAGCGCAUGUGACAGAUACAUUUAGAUUUUAUUUGAUGAUAUAUAUUCUGUCCCAGUCUCUCUAUGCAUGUAAUGUCUUUGGGUGAACUAUGAAACAAUUACUGUAUGCAGAAUGGGGAAGUAGAUUUGUUUUUGCCAUUGCUUUACCUAUAUCUAAAUGUAAGAAUAUGCUGCAGAUUUAAACUUGAAUUGAUGCCUAUGGUAACAAAUAGAAAUGUAAUUAUCAAUGUUUUCAAUAUCAAACUUUGUCCUCUGCAACACUUUUUACAGUACGUAAUAAACUGUUACCAGGUCAUGAUGAGGUCUUAACUGUGACCAGUGAAUAAUAUAGCACAUAAUAUAGUGGUAAAAAUUAUGACCAGCUGGUCAUAUGUUGGUCAGAAAAAAAGUCACAUUACAUUUUUUAUUUAUUUUCAACCAGUUUGCGACCAGAACAAGACCUAUU